AGAACAACCCUCUGAGGUCGACGCCACUGUUGAAAUUGUUAGAGAAACCGAAUCCCGAAUUGAAAAACCAUCUGAAAUUGAAUCUACAGUUGGUGAGUCUAUUUGGGAAUAAUUUUGCUCGCUUUCAGUGUUUGGCUUCACUGUUUACACGUGAAAUAUGUAA
rnacentral:lncRNA from 1 species